AUCAACAUCCCCAGACGAUAUGAAGUUCCUCAUCCUCUCAAUAGACUUCAUCAAAGAAAUAGGCCAAGAGUAAAUAAGCAUACUAUAAAGGACACUCUACACCAAAAGCAUUUUUCCCAUAAUAGAGAGAUGAACCUUUUUUCAUCUGGCCAUUUUCAGACGAAUUUUGUGAUCAGCAAUGGGUUGCAAAUGAAUAACUCUUGGUUUCCCCUUAAAUAAGGGAAUACCCAAGUAAGUGAAAGGAGUAGCUCCUGAAGAGAAACCACGAAUAUCAGCAAUGAGGCUCUUCAUGUGUUCUGAAAUCCCACCAGUGUAGCAUUUGGAUUUAGCAAGAUUAACAAGCUGGCUGGAUUCCUGACCAAAAAAAGAAAUAAACUUUUUAAGAUUCUGAAAUUUUCAAGGGAUCCCCUGCAGAAAAUUAAAACAUCAUUGGCAUAAAGCGCAUGGGAGGGCAUGGAAAAGUUUCUUGGGCCAUCCAUUAAAUAAAGAUUACCAUAAUUCACCAAUUUACUAAUCCCCCUCCUUAAAAAUUCUUGCCUAACUCCUUUUUUGCAAUUGAAGAAGCCAACAACCUUACCAUUCACUAGAAUAGACAACUUAGUCGAAUGUAGAAGAACACUAAUCCAAUCACAGAACUUGGCAUGAAAUCCAAACUGGCUAAGAACCUUGAGAAGAAACUUCCAGUCAAGCAUAUCAAACACUUUUUUGAUAUCCACCUUAAUAGCCAUGUUGCUUGCAAAAGUUUUCUUGUCUAACAAAUGAAUGGAUUUUAACAAACGAAUUUCGAAUGAAAUUGACUUUUUUACUGUCCCUUUUCAAGCUAUCCUCGUGUUAUUCCUUUAAAACGAUACUGUUUUCAUGAUUUUCAUGGAGUGAGUUCACAAUUAAAUAUUAACACAAUUUGAUUUCUUUUUUGUUUUGAAUGAACAAUACAGGAACAAUAGAUAGCCAAAUCCAUUUCGAAUAAACUUUUCAACGAAUUUCUAUAAACAUAAAUGGUCAUUUAUGGCAACAUUUGUCAAGAGUACGGUCACAUUCAAUUUCUUGUUUAAAUAACUGAGAUUUUCUAUAUGUGUGUUGUCGACAUGAAAGAAAAUUAAUACUCCAUAUUUUAGUGGCCUCGUAACAAAAUUAUCAAGUAAUGUAAUGAGCCUAAGUACAGAUAAAUAGAAUAUAUUUAAUCACCUUAAAAAACUGUUUUCAGAGCUCCAACCUAGAGCCCUGCUGAUACCUUCUUCACUAUGCAGGAACUAUGAGCAACAAUGACCUUUCACAGAUUCCCUCAAGUCCAUAUUACAUCCACCCUAGUGAGAGUCCUUCAUCCAUUAUUGUUACACCAUCUUUGACUAGAAAUAAUUACCAAUCUUGGUCAUGAUCAGUUAAAAUGAUCCUUAUUCAAAGAACAAAAUGGGUUACCUUACCAGCGCUAUAUCGAUUCCAACUUCCACAGAUCCUUCACACCCCUUGUAGGAACGUUGCAAUACCUAAAUCAUGUCCUAGAUCUUAAAUUUCCAGUCACCAUCCAUUGCUCAAAUUGUUAUAUAUUUUGACCAUGCUACAAACAUUUGGAAUGAUUUGAAGGAGUGUUUUUCACAAGGGGAUUUAUUGCAAAUUGCAGAGCUUCAAAGAAGAGAUAUACAGACUCAAGCAAGGGGUCGCACACAGUUUUGGAUUUUUUCACUAAAGCUCAAAUUUGUUNNNNNNNNNNNNNNNNNNNNNNNNNNNNNNNNNNNNNNNNNNNNNNNNNNNNNNNNNNNNNNNNNNNNNNNNNNNNNNNNNNNNNNNNNNNNNNNNNNNNUGAACCCUUGCACUUGUCCGAGCAGAACUUACCAUCAACAGGAUUUUGUCAUUCACUUUCUCAAAGGGCUGGAUGAACGAUUUUCUGUUGUGUGCUCUGAAGUCCUGCUUAUGGAUCAUUUACCAUCAACCAAGAGAAUCUUUUCCAUGGUGAUUCAACACGAAACUCAACAUGCUAGCCACACCUCUGCAGAAGACCAGAAUAGAUUCAUCAAUGUUGCUGAAAAACGAUCCUUCUUUAAAAGUUGUGGGAACCCUU
rnacentral:lncRNA from 1 species